rnacentral:rRNA from 1 species
AACGAACGCUGGCUGCAUGCCUAACACAUGCAAGUCGCACGAUUGCCUUCGGGUGAUUUUGGCUCACGGGUGCGUAACGCGUGGGGAUCUGCUCUUAGGUUCGGAAUCACAGCUGCACACGGCUGCUAAUACCGGAUGAUAUCGCUAGUUCAAAGAUUUAUCGCUUGAGGAUGUGCCCGCGUUGGAUUAGGUAGUUGGUGGGGUAAAGGCAUACCAAGCCGACGAUCCAUAGCUGGUCUGAGAGGAUGAUCAGCCACACUUGGACUGAGACACGGCCCAGACUCGUACGGGAGGCAGCAGUGGGGAAUAUUGGACAAUGAGGGAAAGCCUGAGCCAGCAAUGCCGCGUGAGGGAUGAAGGCCUUAGGGUUGGAAAGAUCGUUUACCCGGGAAGAUAAUGAAGGUACCGGGAGAAUAAGCCCCGGCUAACUCCGUG